rnacentral:tRNA from 1 species
UGGAGAUUAGGCUUAGUGAUAGAGCAUCUGCUUUGCAUGCAGAAGGCCCCAGCCUGAACCCGUGGCAUCUCCAA